AUUGAACGCUGGCGGCACGCCUAACACAUGCAAGUCGAGCGGUAGCAGGACCUGUAGCAAUACAGGUUGCUGACGAGCGGCGGACGGGUGAGGAAUACGUAGGAACCUGCCUUAUAGUGGGGGAUAACUAAGGGAAACUUUAGCUAAUACCGCAUAAUCUCGUGAGAGGAAAGCUGCCGCAAGGUGGCGCUAAAAGAGGGGCCUGCGUCCGAUUAGCUAGUUGGUGAGGUAAGAGCUCACCAAGGCGAUGAUCGGUAACUGGUCUGAGAGGACGACCAGUCACACUGGGACUGAGACACGGCCCAGACUCCUACGGGAGGCAGCGGUGGGGAAUAUUGGACAAUGGGGGCAACCCUGAUCCAGCGAUGCCGCGUGAGUGAAGAAGGCCUUCGGGUCGUAAAGCUCUUUAGGUUGGGAAGAAGGGUGUUAGAGGAAAUGCUAAUACUUUGACGGUACCGACAGAAUAAGCACCGGCAAACUCUGUGCCAGCAGCCGCCGCGG
rnacentral:rRNA from 1 species